rnacentral:rRNA from 1 species
UACGUAGGUGACAAGCGUUGUCCGGAUUUACUGGGCGUAAAGAGCGCGCAGGCGGUCGAUCAAGUCGAGUGUGAAAGCCCCCGGCUCAACUGGGGAGGGUCACUCGAUACUGAUCGACUUGAAGGCGGGAGAGGGAAGCGGAAUUCCCGGUGUAGUGGUGAAAUGCGUAGAUAUCGGGAGGAACACCAGUGGCGAAGGCGCUUCUGGUCCCGUUCUGACGCUGAGGCGCGAAAGCUAGGGUAGCAAACGGG